ACCUACGGGGGGCAGCAGUGAGGAAUAUUGGUCAAUGGUCGGGAGACUGAACCAGCCAAGCCGCGUGAGGGGUGAAGGUACAGAGUAUCGUAAACCUCUUUUGUCAGGGAACAAAGGCGGGGACGUGUCCCCGGAUGAGUGUACCUGAAGAAAAAGCAUCGGCUAACUCCGUGCCAGCAGCCGCGGUAAUACGGAGGAUGCGAGCGUUAUCCGGAUUUAUUGGGUUUAAAGGGUGCGCAGGCGGUCUGUUAAGUCAGCGGUCAAAGCCCGGGGCUCAACCCCGGCCCGCCGUUGAAACUGGCAGU
rnacentral:rRNA from 1 species